rnacentral:tRNA from 1 species
GCCUGGCUGGCUCAUUUGGAAGAGCAUGUGACUCUUGAUCUCAGGGUUGUGAGUUGGAGCCCCACGUUGGGUG